CUCUUGUAAAUAGGAUCGGAGGGA
rnacentral:miRNA from 1 species